rnacentral:rRNA from 1 species
GAUUUCUGACUUAGCGCACCUGGCCCGCCACAUUUACGUGUGUGAGUGCCGGGAUGCGCUUGUCACUUUUCUGGUAAACCAUUGUGCUCUUCACUGAGUGUGAUGGGUAGCCAGAUAUUUUACUUUGAAAAGAUUAGAGUGUUUAAAGCAGGCGUUUGCUAUGAAUACAUUAGCAUGGAAUAAUAAGUUAGGACUUCGGUUCUAUUUUGUUGGUUUCUAGGACUGAAGUAAUGAUUGAUAGGGACAGUUGGGGGUGCUAGUAUUCAGCGGCCAGAGGUGAAAUUCUCGGAUUCGCUGAAGACUAGCUUAUGCGAAAGCAUU